CUGGGAUGAUGCAAAAUAGCCAAAUCAGACAUCUUAGUGCUCCUUUAGGCCAUUUGUUGCAAGCUUUUCUCUUGUGCUUAUGUGGAAGCACCUUCUUGGUAGCUUUUGCAUAGAGUGCUUUUUUGGGCAUGUGAACAAGUUGCCUUUAGUAGAAGCGCUUAGCUCUGAUGAUUAAAACUGAGAUUGGUUCCCUGCUGACCAGU